AAGGAAAAUGGUGAUCACAGCUAUCCUCAAGGGCACUGAAGACACCAGGAAGGAAGGGAGAGCCCAGAGCAGGAGGGACAUUCUUUGCCUCCAAUUCCCUCAGGGCAUGGCCUACCAUCUACUUCAAUUGUUUCGAGAAGCCCAAAGCUAUCCAGCAUGUUAAAUUCAUGUGUAAACUAUUUGAGAAGUGGUUAACAAGCCAAGCUUUCCCAGGGGCCAGGAAGACCGAGGCUAGCGCUGUCCACGGUGCUGAACAGCCGGCUGAGCCCACUCACCGGCCACCACCGCCGCUCCCAGGAAGCCGAGAAACACGGC